rnacentral:sRNA from 1 species
GAGUUUCCGCAGAGUGCCCGGAGCCCUAGGCCGGUGGGUGAGUGCACCGCGUUCUCGCACGCGUCAUGGCGGUCCUCGGAGUACAGCUGGUGGUGACCCUGCUCACUGCCACCCUCAUGCACAGGCUGGCGCCACACUGCUCCUUCGCGCGCUGGCUGCUCUGUAACGGCAGUUUGUUCCGAUACAAGCACCCGUCUGAGGAGGAGCUUCGGGCCCUGGCGGGGAAGCCGAGGCCCAGAGGCAGGAAAGAGCGGUGGGCCAAUGGCCUUAGUGAGGAGAAGCCACUGUCUGUGCCCCGAGAUGCCCCGUUCCAGCUGGAGACCUGCCCCCUCACGACCGUGGAUGCCCUGGUCCUGCGCUUCUUCCUGGAGUACCAGUGGUUUGUGGACUUUGCUGUGUACUCGGGCGGCGUGUACCUCUUCACAGAGGCCUACUACUACAUGCUGGGACCAGCCAAGGAGACUAACAUCGCUGUGUUCUGGUGCCUGCUCACGGUGACCUUCUCCAUCAAGAUGUUCCUGACAGUGACACGGCUGUACUUCAGCGCCGAGGAGGGGGGUGAGCGCUCUGUCUGCCUCACCUUUGCCUUCCUCUUCCUGCUGCUGGCCAUGCUGGUGCAAGUGGUGCGGGAGGAGACCCUCGAGCUGGGCCUGGAGCCUGGUCUGGCCAGCAUGACCCAGAACUUAGAGCCACUUCUGAAGAAGCAGGGCUGGGACUGGGCGCUUCCUGUGGCCAAGCUGGCUAUCCGCGUGGGACUGGCAGUGGUGGGCUCUGUGCUGGGUGCCUUCCUCACCUUCCCAGGCCUGCGGCUGGCCCAGACCCACCGGGACGCACUGACCAUGUCGGAGGACAGACCCAUGCUGCAGUUAAGUGGGUCGCUUGGUGGGUGGGGGGACUAGGGAGCUUAAGGGAGAGACUCGAGGAGAGGGGGUACCCAGGCCUCACUCUCUCCUGCCCUCACCCCCCAGGUUCCUCCUGCACACCAGCUUCCUGUCUCCCCUGUUCAUCCUGUGGCUCUGGACAAAGCCCAUUGCACGGGACUUCCUGCACCAGCCGCCGUUUGGGGAGACGCAUUUCUCCCUGCUGUCCGAUUCUGCCUUCGACUCUGGGCGCCUCUGGUUGCUGGUGGUGCUGUGCCUGCUGCGGCUGGCGGUGACCCGGCCCCACCUGCAGGCCUACCUGUGCCUGGCCAAGGCCCGGGUGGAGCAGCUGCGAAGGGAGGCUGGCCGCAUCGAAGCCCGUGAAAUCCAGCAGAGGGUGGUCCGAGUCUACUGCUAUGUGACCGUGGUGAGCUUGCAGUACCUGACGCCGCUCAUCCUCACCCUCAACUGCACACUUCUGCUCAAGACGCUGGGAGGCUAUUCCUGGGGCCUGGGCCCAGCUCCUCUACUAUCCCCCGACCCAUCCUCAGCCAGCGCUGCCCCCAUCGGCUCUGGGGGGGACGAAGUCCAGCAGACUGCAGCGCGGAUUGCCGGGGCCCUGGGCGGCCUGCUUACUCCCCUCUUCCUCCGUGGCGUCCUGGCCUACCUCAUCUGGUGGACGGCUGCCUGCCAGCUGCUCGCCAGCCUUUUCGGCCUCUACUUCCACCAGCACUUGGCAGGCUCCUAGCUGCCUGCAGACCCUCCUGGGGCCCUGAGGUCUGGUCCUGGGGCAGCGGGACACUAGCCUGCCCCCUCUGUUUGCGCCCCCGUGUCCCCAGCUGCAAGGUGGGGCCGGACUCCCCGGCGUUCCCUUCACCGCAGUGCCUGACCCGCGGCCCCCCUUGGACGCCGAGUUUCUGCCUCAGAACUGUCUCUCCUGGGCCCAGCAGCAUGAGGGUCCCGAGGCCAUUGUCUCCGAAGCGUAUGUGCCAGGUUUGAGUGGCGAGGGUGAUGCUGGCUGCUCUUCUGAACAAAUAAAGGAGCACGCCGAUUUUUACAAACA